UGGGGAAUAUUGGUCAAUGGGCGCAAGCCUGAACCAGCCACGCCGCGUGAGUGAUGAAGGCCUUCGGGUUGUAAAGCUCUGUGGGGAGGGACGAAAACGGCACGGAAGAAACGACGUGUCCUUGACGGUACCUCCUUAGCAAGCACCGGCUAACUCUGUGCCAGCAGCCGCGGUAAUACAGAGGGUGCGAACGUUGCUCGGAAUUACUGGGCGUAAAGCGCGUGUAGGCGGAACGGAAAGUCAGAUGUGAAAUCCCCGAGCUCAACUCGGGAACUGCACCUGAAACUUCCGAUCUUGAGUACCGGAGAGGGUGGCGGAAUUCCUGGUGUAGAGGUGAAAUUCGUAGAUAUCAGGAGGAACACCGGUGGCGAAGGCGGCCACCUGGACGGUUACUGACGCUGAGACGCGAAAGCGUGGGGAGCAAACAG
rnacentral:rRNA from 1 species